rnacentral:rRNA from 1 species
UACGUAGGGGGCUAGCGUUGUCCGGAUUUAUUGGGCGUAAAGAGCGUGUAGGCGGCCAGAUAGGUCCGUUGUGAAAACUGGAGGCUUAACCUCCAGCUGUCGAUGGAAACCAUCUGGCUAGAGUCCGGAAGAGGAGAGUGGAAUUCCUGGUGUAGCGGUGAAAUGCGCAGAUAUCAGGAGGAACACCAAUGGCGAAGGCAGCUCGCUGGGACGGUACUGACGCUGAGGCGCGAAAGCGUGGGGAGCAAACAGG